ensembl:lncRNA
UCUCUUCGGUUCCCUCACGUUGACGUUCUGUCAGAUCUCAUCGGUUCCCUCACGUUGACGUUCUGUUGGUUCCUCCUUGGUUCCCUCAUGUUGACGUUCUGUCGCGUUUCUUCUCGGUUCCCUCAUGUUGACGUCCUGUCAGUUCCUCCUUGGUUUCCUCAUGUUGACAUUCUGUCACGUUUCUCCUCGGUUCCCUCAUGUUGACGUUCUGUCGGUUCCCCCAUGUUGAAGUUCUGUCGGUUCCUCCUCGGUUCCCUCAUGUUGACAUUCUGUCGGUUCCCUCGUGUUGACUUUCUGUCAGGUGUCUCAUCAGUUCCCUCAUGUUGACGUUCUGUCAGGUUCCCUCAUUUUGACGUUCUGUCAGGUUCCCUCAUGUUGACGUUCUGUCAGGUUCCUUCAUGUUGACGUUCUGUCAGGUUUCUCCUCAGUUCCCUCAUGUUGACGUUCUGUCAGGUUCCUUCAUGUUGACGUUCUGUCGGGUUUCUCCUCAGUUCCCUCAUGUUGACGUUCUGUCAGGUUCCUUCACGUUGACGUUCUGUCAGGUUUCUCCUCAGUUCCCUCAUGUUGACGUUCUGUCAGUUCCCUCAUGUUGACGUUCUGUCAGGUUUCUCCUCAGUUCCCUCAUGUUGACGUUCUGUCAGGUUCCUUCAUGUUGACGUUCUGUCAGGUUUCUCCUCAGUUCCCUCAUGUUGACGUUCUGCCAGGUUUCUCCUCAGUUCCCUCAUGUUGACGUUCUGUCGGUUCCUCCUCGGUUCCCUCAUGUUGACGUUCUGUCGGUUACUCCUCGGUUCCCUCAUGUUGACGUUCUGUCAGUCCCCUCAUGUUGACGUUCUGUCAGGUUUCUCCUCAGUUCCCUCAUGUUGAC